AACGAACGCUGGCGGCAUGCCUAACACAUGCAAGUCGAACAAAGCCUUCGGGCUUAGUGGCGCACGGGUGCGUAACGCGUGGGAAUCUGCCCUUUGGUUCGGAAUAACAGUUGGAAACGACUGCUAAUACCGGAUGAUGACGAAAGUCCAAAGAUUUAUCGCCAGAGGAUGAGCCCGCGUAGGAUUAGCUAGUUGGUGCGGUAAAGGCGCACCAAGGCGACGAUCCUUAGCUGGUCUGAGAGGAUGAUCAGCCACACUGGGACUGAGACACGGCCCAGACUCCUACGGGAGGCAGCAGUGGGGAAUAUUGGACAAUGGGCGAAAGCCUGAUCCAGCAAUGCCGCGUGAGUGAUGAAGGCCCUAGGGUUGUAAAGCUCUUUUACCCGGGAUGAUAAUGACAGUACCGGGAGAAUAAGCCCCGGCUAACUCCGUGCCAGCCGCCGCGGUAA
rnacentral:rRNA from 1 species